rnacentral:rRNA from 1 species
UACGAAGGGGGCUAGCGUUGUUCGGAAUUACUGGGCGUAAAGCGUGCGCAGGCGGCCAUUCAAGUCAGGGGUGAAAUCCUGGAGCUCAACUCCAGAACUGCCCUUGAUACUGAAGAUCUUGAGUUCGGGAGAGGUGAGUGGAACUGCGAGUGUAGAGGUGAAAUUCGUAGAUAUUCGGAAGAACACCAGUGGCGAAGGCGACUCACUGGACACGUAUUGACGCUGAGGUGCGAAAGCGUGGGGAGCAACAGG